GGGCCCGCACAAGCGGUGGAGCAUGUGGUUUAAUUCGAUGAUACGCGAGGAACCUUACCAGGGCUUAAAUGCAGUCUGACAGGUCUGGAAACAGACUUUUCUUCGGACAGAUUGCAAGGUGCUGCAUGGUUGUCGUCAGCUCGUGCCGUGAGGUGUCAGGUUAAGUCCUAUAACGAGCGCAACCCCUGUGGUUAGUUGCCAGCGAGUCAUGUCGGGAACUCUAGCCAGACUGCCGGUGCAAACCGCGAGGAAGGUGGGGAUGACGUCAAAUCAUCACGGCCCUUACGUCCUGGGCCACACACGUGCUACAAUGGUAGGGACAGAGGGCAGCUACCCCGCGAGGGGAUGCGAAUCUUCAAACCCUAUCACAGUUCGGAUUGGAGUCUGCAACUCGACUCCAUGAAGUUGGAAUCGCUAGUAAUCG
rnacentral:rRNA from 1 species